rnacentral:rRNA from 1 species
ACGAACGCUGGCGGCAUGCCUAACACAUGCAAGUCGAACGAGACCUUCGGGUCUAGUGGCGCACGGGUGCGUAACGCGUGGGAACCUGCCCUUAGGUUCGGAAUAACUCCCCGAAAGGGGUGCUAAUACCGGAUAAUGUCUUCGGAUCAAAGAUUUAUCGCCUUUGGAUGGGCCCGCGUUGGAUUAGCUAGUUGGUAGGGUAAAAGCCUACCAAGGCGACGAUCCAUAGCUGGUCUGAGAGGAUGAUCAGCCACACUGGGACUGAGACACGGCCCAGACUCCUACGGGAGGCAGCAGUGGGGAAUAUUGGACAAUGGGCGAAAGCCUGAUCCAGUAAUGCCGCGUGAGUGAUGAAGGCCUUAGGGUUGUAAAGCUCUUUUACCCGGGAUGAUAAUGACAGUACCGGGAGAAUAAGCUCCGGCUAACUCCGUG